AUGAACGCUAGCUACAGGCUUAACACAUGCAAGUCGAGGGGCAGCAUUUUAGUUUGCUUGCAAACUAAAGAUGGCGACCGGCGCACGGGUGAGUAACACGUAUCCAACCUGCCGAUAACUCGGGGAUAGCCUUUCGAAAGAAAGAUUAAUAUCCGAUAGUAUAUUAAAACCGCAUGGUUUUACUAUUAAAGAAUUUCGGUUAUCGAUGGGGAUGCGUUCCGUUAGUUUGUUGGCGGGGUAACGGCCCACCAAGACUACGAUGGAUAGGGGUUCUGAGAGGAAGGUCCCCCACAUUGGAACUGAGACACGGUCCAAACUCCUACGGGAGGCAGCAGUGAGGAAUAUUGGUCAAUGGACGAGAGUCUGAACCAGCCAAGUAGCGUGAAGGAUGACUGCCCUAUGGGUUGUAAACUUCUUUUAUAUGGGAAUAAAGUAUUCCACGUGUGGGAUUUUGUAUGUACCAUAUGAAUAAGGAUCGGCUAACUCCGUGCCAGCAGCCGCGGUAAUACGGAGGAUCCGAGCGUUAUCCGGAUUUAUUGGGUUUAAAGGGAGCGUAGGUGGAUUGUUAAGUCAGUUGUGAAAGUUUGCGGCUCAACCGUAAAAUUGCAGUUGAAACUGGCAGUCUUGAGUACAGUAGAGGUGGGCGGAAUUCGUGGUGUAGCGGUGAAAUGCUUAGAUAUCACGAAGAACUCCGAUUGCGAAGGCAGCUCACUAGACUGCAACUGACACUGAUGCUCGAAAGUGUGGGUAUCAAACAGGAUUAGAUACCCUGGUAGUCCACACAGUAAACGAUGAAUACUCGCUGUUUGCGAUAUACAGUAAGCGGCCAAGCGAAAGCAUUAAGUAUUCCACCUGGGGAGUACGCCGGCAACGGUGAAACUCAAAGGAAUUGACGGGGGCCAGCACAAGCGGAGGAACAUGUGGUUUAAUUCGAUGAUACGCGAGGAACCUUACCCGGGCUUAAAUUGCAUUUGAAUAAUCUGGAAACAGGUUAGCCGCAAGGCAAAUGUGAAGGUGCUGCAUGGUUGUCGUCAGCUCGUGCCGUGAGGUGUCGGCUUAAGUGCCAUAACGAGCGCAACCCUUAUCUUUAGUUACUAACAGGUUAUGCUGAGGACUCUAGAGAGACUGCCGUCGUAAGAUGUGAGGAAGGUGGGGAUGACGUCAAAUCAGCACGGCCCUUACGUCCGGGGCUACACACGUGUUACAAUGGGGGGUACAGAAGGCAGCUACCUGGCGACAGGAUGCUAAUCCCAAAAACCUCUCUCAGUUCGGAUCGAAGUCUGCAACCCGACUUCGUGAAGCUGGAUUCGCUAGUAAUCGCGCAUCAGCCAUGGCGCGGUGAAUACGUUCCCGGGCCUUGUACACACCGCCCGUCAAGCCAUGAAAGCCGGGGGUACCUGAAGUACGUAACCGCAAGGAGCGUCCUAGGGUAAAACUGGUAAUUGGGGCU
rnacentral:rRNA from 1 species